rnacentral:lncRNA from 1 species
UGAGCGCGCAGUUCCGCGCGCCGCCACCGCAGCUCCGCAGCGCUACCGGCGCUCAGAACUCCGCGUGGUGUCCGCGCUUGUGGUAGUUAGUACGACUUCGGAUCUUCGAUCAACAGGUGCCGUGCGUCCCGCGUGUGUCAUGUGACUCCCGUUCUGCUUACAAUCUGCCGGCGAUUUCGAUUGUGUUUUGUUUACAGUGAUGUUCAGCAUGAAACAGUUCGGUUUUCAAACGUUUCAGUGAUUUCAGAACCCUGUGCUUCAAGCGAUAAACCCUUUCACGUGCCCCGAUUGAUAUAACAGUUCUCCUAGCCGCGUUUCACGGCUGAGUUUUUUACACGCCUCUCGCAAGGUGGUUUUUGGAUCCGUUGUUUUUUGAGUUUUCGGUCGAUAGCAUCAUGAUGGAAAGUUUCAACGUUGACAAGUUCUACGACAUCGAGUCGAACGUCCUCAAUGACUUUUGGGAUGUUGAAGUUGAUCCGAAUAUGACGGAGGUGUUCAAAGUGACAGAGGAAGAUUGGAAUCCAGGUGGUUGCGCCGGCAUGCUGGAGGUGAAGCCGCAAGUAGUGAUCCAUGACCGGCUUAUGACCGACGCGGUCCUCGGCGCCUGCAACAUUCCCAUCAAAACAGAACACUCUUACUGCUCCUCACAACCCGAGAACAUACCCGACUCAGGACUCGACAAAAUUGACGAUCUGGAAGAUGAAUGCUACCGCGCCCUUCCACUCAACUGCGUGGCGAAAAGAAGACGGAGCAGCUCGCAAGAUGAGAGUCCGGACUCACCAAUCAUCGUUGUCAAAGAUGAACCCAUGAGCGACCAAGAGCCGGACUCCCCGUGUCCUCCUGUCCCUCUUCACCGCAGUCCAUGCACGACUAUGAAGAAAAACCAAGCGCAAACAUUAUGA